AACGAACGCUGGCGGCAUGCCUAACACAUGCAAGUCGAACGAGAUCUUCGGGUCUAGUGGCGCACGGGUGCGUAACGCGUGGGAAUCUGCCCUUUGGCUCGGAAUAACAGUUGGAAACGACUGCUAAUACCGGAUGAUGACGAAAGUCCAAAGAUUUAUCGCCAGAGGAUGAGCCCGCGUAGGAUUAGCUAGUUGGUGUGGUAAAGGCGCAUCAAGGCGACGAUCCUUAGCUGGUCUGAGAGGAUGAUCAGCCACACUGGGACUGAGACACGGCCUAGACUCCUACGGGAGGCAGCAGUGGGGAAUAUUGGACAAUGGGCGAAAGCCUGAUCCAGCAAUGCCGCGUGAGUGAUGAAGGCCUUAGGGUUGUAAAGCUCUUUUACCCGGGAUGAUAAUGACAGUACCGGGAGAAUAAGCUCCGGCUAACUCCGUGCCAGCAGCCGCCGUAA
rnacentral:rRNA from 1 species